rnacentral:rRNA from 1 species
UACGUAGGGUGCGAGCGUUAAUCGGAAUUACUGGGCGUAAAGCGUGCGCAGGCGGUUCUCCAAGUCCGUUGUGAAAGCCCCGGGCUCAACCUGGGAAUGGCAUUGGAAACUGGCGGACUCGAGUGUGGCAGAGGGGGGUGGAAUUCCGCGUGUAGCAGUGAAAUGCGUAGAGAUGCGGAGGAACACCGAUGGCGAAGGCAGCCCCCUGGGCUAACACUGACGCUCAGGCACGAAAGCGUGGGGAGCAAACAGG